AAGACUGUCUUUUUUCACAGAAGAGCGUAUUUUUGUCGUUUUCCAAUGUUUUCUAGUGAUAUUUUCCAUAUUUUCUGCCAAAAUGCGACCGUCCGUGCCGCUAAUCAGGAGAUCUGCUACAUUCUCGCUGAAUUACGAAUCUGAUGGGGAUAAAAUUCACCCGGUGUGUGUUCAGAGACGGUCCAUAUCGCUGGAUUCGUUCUUGAGAGAUCGACAAAGAUUGUUGGAGAAAAAAUCUUCGAUAUUCCCGAUUUCGCGGAGAGGUGUGAAGGAAGAAAUAGAUCUGAGACGACAUCGCGGGUAUCAUUGUGCCCCACUGUGCAUGUCCAGCGAUACCGUCGGGCCUUUGCCAGGAGAUGGGCCACCGUGGACACGUCGACGUCAUCGAGUGAUGAGGAAAAUGUAGACGUUGACGUCAUCGCCGCCAAACCAGAUGAUCGCGAAGAAGUGAAGGAGGACAAGAUAGAACCCAUUCCCACUGGUGCUGAUUUCUCAAAUGUUUUUCGCGAACGCUCGACCACAUGGGCCGGCGAAUACAUUCAGUCUUACAUAUACCCGCCACUACGGUCUACUAGAAGCGACAACCAGGGCGUGCUGCUGUUCUACAUGGACAAACCCCAAA